GUCUGGGUGGCGUCGGGGGGGAUAGUGUGAUAGUACAGGUGUCUGGGUGGCGUCGGGGGUGAUAGUGUGAUAGUACAGGUGUCUGGGUGGCGUCGCGGGUGAUAGUGUGAUAGUACAGGUGUCUGGGUGGCGUCGCGGGUGAUAGUACAGGUGUCUGGGUGGCGUCAGGGGUGAUAGUGUGAUAGUACAGGUGUCUGGGUGGCGUCAGGGGUGAUAGUGUGAUAGUACAGGUGUCUGGGUGGUGUCGCGGGUGAUAGUGUGAUAGUACAGGUGUCUGGGUGGCGUCGCGGGUGAUAGUGUGAUAGUACAGGUGUCUGGGUGGCGUCGGGGGGGAUAGUGUGAUAGUACAGGUGUCUGGGUGGCGUCGCGGGUGAUAGUGUGAUAGUACAGGUGUCUGGGUGGCGUCGCGGGUGAUAGUGUGAUAGUACAGGUGUCUGGGUGGCGUCGGGGGUGAUAGUGUGAUAGUACAGGUGUCUGGGUGGCGUCGCGGGUGAUAGUGUGAUAGUACAGGUGUCUGGGUGGUGUCGCGGGUGAUAGUGUGAUAGUACAGGUGUCUGGGUGGCGUCGCGGGUGAUAGUGUGAUAGUACAGGUGUCUGGGUGGCGUCGGGGGUGAUAGUGUGAUAGUACAGGUGUCUGGGUGGCGUCGCGGGGGAUAGUGUGAUAGUACAGGUGUCUGGGUGGCGUCGCGGGGGAUAGUGUGAUAGUACAGGUGUCUGGGUGGCGUCGCGGGUGAUAGUGUGAUAGUACAGGUGUCUGGGUGGCGUCGCGGGUGAUAGUGUGAUAGUACAGGUGUCUGGGUGGCGUCUGGGGUGAUAGUACAGAUGUCUGGGUGGCGUCUGGGGUGAUAGUACAGGUGUCUGGGUGGCGUCUGGGGUGAUAGUACAGGUGUCUGGGUGGCGUCUGGGGUGAUAGUACAGGUGUCUGGGUGGCGUCUGAGGUGAUAGUACAGGUGUCUGGGUGGCGUCUGGGGUGAUAGUACAGGUGUCUGGGUGGCGUCUGGGGUGAUAGUACAGGUGUCUGGGUGGCGUCUGGGGUGAUAAUAGUACAGGUGUCUGGGUGGCGUCUGGGGUGAUAGUAGUACAGGUGUCUGG